CCUACGGGAGACUGCAGUGAGGAAUAUUGGUCAAUGGGCGGAAGCCUGAACCAGCCAAGUAGCGUGCGGGAUGAAGGCCCUACGGGUCGUAAACCGCUUUUGCACGGGGAUAACACUCUCCACGUGUGGAUGUCUGCAUGUACCCUGCGAAUAAGGGCCGGCUAAUUCCGUGCCAGCAGCCGCGGUAAUACGGAAGGCCCGAGCGUUAUCCGGAUUCAUUGGGCUUAAAGGGAGCGUAGGCGGGCGUUCAAGUCAGCUGUAAAAUCGCGCGGCUCAACCGCGCCCCGCAGUUGAAACUGGAAGCCUUGAGUUCACAACAGGCAGGUGGAAUUCGUGGUGUAGCGGUGAAAUGCAUAGAUAUCACGAGGAACCCCGAUUGCGAAGGCAGCCUGCCGGGGUGCGACUGACGCUGAGGCUCGAAGGUGCGGGUAUCAAACAGGAUUAGAUACCCCUGUAGUC
rnacentral:rRNA from 1 species